GCAAAUGUAGCUUAUAAGAAAGCAUGACACUGAAGAUGUUAAGAUGAGCCCUAGAAAGCUCCAUGAGCA
rnacentral:tRNA from 1 species